rfam:Clostridium botulinum C str. Eklund gcontig_1106103629386, whole genome shotgun sequence.
UUCGUUAAGAAGAAACUAAGCUGUUUCUCACCUUACAGCAUUGCUAGUAAGGUUAUACAUUCAUUUUGAUUUGUUUUGUGUGAAUUGUAUAGGACGGCUUAAAGCCGUCCUUUUUAUUUUGU